rnacentral:rRNA from 1 species
CCUACGUGUGGCAGCAGUGGGGAAUCUUGCGCAAUGGGCGGAAGCCUGACGCAGCGACGCCGCGUGCGGGACGCAGGCCUUCGGGUCGUAAACCGCUUUCAGCAGGGACGAGGCCCUCACGGUGACGGUACCUGCAGAAGAAGCCCCGGCUCACUACGUGCCAGCAGCCGCGGUAAUACGUAGGGGGCGAGCGUUAUCCUGAUUCAUUGGGCGUAAAGCGCGCGUAGGCGGCAUGUUAGGUCGGGGGUCAAAUACCGGGGCUCAACCCCGGUCCGCCCCGUGUACCGGCAGGAGUGAGUUUGGUAGGGGAAGGAGGAAUUCCCGGUGGAGCGGUGGAAUGCGCAGA